rnacentral:rRNA from 1 species
UACGAAGGGGGCUAGCGUUGCUCGGAUUGACUGGGCGUAAAGGGCGCGUAGGCGGCGGACACAGUCAGACGUGAAAUUCCUGGGCUCAACCUGGGGGCUGCGUUUGAUACAUGUCUGCUUGAGUUCGGAAGAGGGUCGUGGAAUUCCCAGUGUAGAGGUGAAAAUUCGUAGAUAUUGGGAAGAACACCGGUGGCGAAGGCGGCGACCUGGUCCGAUACUGACGCUGAGGCGCGAAAGCGUGGGGAGCAAACAGGAUAG